AUCGCUUCUCGGCCUUUUGGCUAAGAUCAAGUGUAGUAUCUGUUCUUAUCAGUUUGAUAAAGAAUAUCCUCAUCCAAGGUUACAUGAAGAUUUCUCAGUCAGCACAUUUAGCCCCAGAGAUGUGUACUUCACCAGAGGUCAAAGUUAGGAUGGCCCCCCCAUCACAUGGCAGAAAUCAACUAUGGUAU